AUUGAACGCUGGCGGCAGGCCUAACACAUGCAAGUCGAACGGUAGCACAGAGAGCUUGCUCUCGGGUGACGAGUGGCGGACGGGUGAGUAAUGUCUGGGAAACUGCCCGAUGGAGGGGGAUAACUACUGGAAACGGUAGCUAAUACCGCAUAAUGUCGCAAGACCAAAGAGGGGGACCUUCGGGCCUCUUGCCAUCGGAUGUGCCCAGAUGGGAUUAGCUUGUUGGUGAGGUAAUGGCUCACCAAGGCGACGAUCCAUAGCUGGUCUGAGAGGAUGACCAGCCACACUGGAACUGAGACACGGUCCAGACUCCUACGGGAGGCAGCAGUGGGGAAUAUUGCACAAUGGGCGCAAGCCUGAUGCAGCCAUGCCGCGUGUGUGAAGAAGGCCUUCGGGUUGUAAAGCACUUUCAGCGGGGAGGAAGGCGAUACGGUUAAUAACCGUGUUGAUUGACGUUACCCGCAGAAGAAGCACCGGCUAACUCCGUG
rnacentral:rRNA from 1 species